rnacentral:rRNA from 1 species
AAAAACGCUACCACAUCCAAGGAAGGCAGCAGGCGCGCAAAUUACCCACUCCCGGCACGGGGAGGUAGUGACGAAAAAUAACGAUACGGGACUCAUCCGAGGCCCCGUAAUCGGAAUGAGUACACUCUAAACCCUUUAACGAGGAUCAAUUGGAGGGCAAGUCUGGUGCCAGCAGCCGCGGUAAUUCCAGCUCCAAUAGCGUAUAUUAAAGUUGUUGCGGUUAAAAAGCUCGUAGUCGAAUCUGUGUCUUGCGCCGCCGGUGCAUCGCUCGCGGUGUUUAACUGGCGUGUCCGCGAGACGUCCUGCCGGUGGGCUUAGCCCGGCAACGGGCGGCCCUACUUCAAAUCCCACCGCGGUGCUCUUCAUUGAGUGUCGAGGUGGGCCGGCACGUUUACUUUGAACAAAUUAGAGUGCUUAAAGCAGGCUAAAACUUCGCCUGAAUACUGUGUGCAUGGAAUAAUGGAAUAGGACCUCGGUUCUAUUUUGUUGGUUUUCGGAACCCCGAGGUAAUGAUUAAUAGGAACGGAUGGGGGCAUUCGUAUUGCGACGUUAGAGGUGAAAUUCUUGGAUCGUCGCAAGACGGACAGAAGCGAAAGCAUUUGCCAAAAACGCUUUCAUUGAUCAAGAACGAAAGUUAGAGGUUCGAAGGCGAUCAGAUACCGCCCUAGUUCUAACCAUAAACGAUGCCAGCUAGCGAUCCGCCGACGUUCCUCCGAUGACUCGGCGGGCAGCUUCCGGGAAACCAAAGCUUUUGGGUUCCGGGGGAAGUAUG